GCCUAGCUCAGUUGGUAGAGCAUGAGACUUAAUCCCAGGGAUGUGGGGUUUGAGUCCCACGUUGGACA